UUUACUUUUAAAAUAGUCUUUUCCCAUAAAAUCCAUAGCUCUUAAUUUAUACAUCUAAAAAUCGCCAUUUUUGGACACAAUCUAGAAAACUCAUCAAAUUAUCAUUUCAAAUUUUUCCAAAAUUUUUGAGGGUCAGAAAAAUUACGAAUCUGUCCCUGGCAGAAACCCCUUUUUAAUGAAAAUACUAUUCGUAUGAAUACGAAUGAUCAUUUACCAUGCAUGCGGUAAUCUAUAUAGACAUGUUAUUUCAAUAGAAUAAUAAAGAAUGAAACCAAGUCAUGCGUAAACGUACAGACAGGAUAUUCCAACAGAAUAAUAAAUAAUGGAAUAAUAGAAGAAUUCACCAGACAUGCGAUAGACUGCACAGACAGGGUAUUCCAACAAAAUAAUAAAUAAUAGAACCAGGUCAUGCGCAAACGCACGAACAGGA
rnacentral:lncRNA from 1 species